CCUACGGGGGGCAGCAGUGAGGAAUAUUGGUCAAUGGGCGGAAGCCUGAACCAGCCAAGUAGCGUGCAGGAUGACGGCCCUACGGGUGGUAAACUGCGUGUAUACGGGAAGAAAGCGCCGUACGUGUAGGGCUUUGCAUGUACCGUAUGAAUGAGGACCGGCUAAUUCCGUGCCAGCAGCCGCGGUAAUACGGAAGGCCCGGGCGUUAUCCGGAUUUAGUGGGGUUACUGGGAGCGUAGGCGGCAUGUCAAGCGUGCUGUGAAAUGGCCGGGCUCAACCCGGGCCUUGCAGCGCUAACGGGCGUGCUUGAGUCCGCGGCAAGCAGGCGGAAUUCGUCGUGUAGCGGU
rnacentral:rRNA from 1 species